rnacentral:rRNA from 1 species
CCUACGGGGGGCAGCAGUGGGGAAUAUUGGACAAUGGGGGGAACCCUGAUCCAGCCAUGCCGCGUGUGUGAAGAAGGCCCUCGGGUUGUAAAGCACUUUCAGUGAGGAAGAACGCCUGGUGGUUAAUACCCAUCAGGAAAGACAUCACUCACAGAAGAAGCACCGGCUAACUCCGUGCCAGCAGCCGCGGUAAUACGGAGGGUGCGAGCGUUAAUCGGAAUUACUGGGCGUAAAGCGCGCGUAGGUGGCUUGAUAAGCCGGUUGUGAAAGCCCCGGGCUCAACCUGGGAACGGCAUCCGGAACUGUCAAGCUAGAGUGCAGGAGAGGAAGGUAGAAUUCCCGGUGUAGCGGUGAAAUGCGUAGAGAUCGGGAGGAAUACCAGUGGCGAAGGCGGCCUUCUGGACUGACACUGACACCGAGGUGCGAAAGCGUGGGUAGCAAACAGGAUUAGAUACCCGAGUAGUC